UUCUCACGUUUACCCUUCCAUGUGCUUGCUCCAGUCUUGAGUUUUCCCCUCGAUUGUCAACGGCGUUUAUCUGUUCAGUUAGUCUUUUAGAGUUAGCAGAAACCUGCUUUUAAAUGUAUUAACUGAAUCUUCGAGCUUCAUCCUGACCAGUUUUGGAUUGAAGCAGAGUUCACUCGCUUAACAUCUAAGGACCCCAUGAAGUCUUUUCUCUCAGGGUUGGAUCAGUAUGUACCCAGGUUCCUUCAGAUGUUUAGAGCCAAGUUGAGCAGCAUUUUCAGAACUGAAAGGUCUUCUAUGCAAGAUUGACCGUGAUACCCAAAAUGUGUCCAAAUAUCAGCUUUUAAGGCUGUGCACAGGCUCCUACUCUUUUCUGCCUAUAAUUCCAUGUCAAUGAAAAGGGCCGUUGUUCUUCAAGGCCUUCCACAUUACCUCGGCGAGGAUCCAUCAGAUUUCUUCAAGUCAGCUGAGGAAACUGACAUUGAAGACGGUGUGAUGGUGGGAAUGGAUGUGGGCAUUCUCAUAAUGCCUGAUGGAGAUGAUGCCUUUGACUACUACGUGGUAGUGGAGGAACAAGUUGUCCUGAGUGAUGCCAAAGACCUCCCUCAUGCUGUGGCUCAACUAGUUGUACUGAUUUUUGCGCUUAACAUUGAUUAUCCCAAAAAACUACGCUACACAUUUGAGGUAAUUCAGAAGAUUUUAAUUGACCUUGGAGGUGAUCACUGUUCCGUGACGGUGCAUGGACUGAAAAAUAGACUCUUUCGCAAAACUGUUUAGCAUUUUAACUGAAAGGUAUACGUUCUGUGCCUUUUUUUUUUUGGUCAUGAUUUAUUGGUGAAUUUCUGGUUGUUUUAAAACAAAGAAUGUUAAAUGAUUUUUUUUCUUAAUGUAGUUCUUUAUGCAGUGACAAUUUAUGUAACUUAAAGGGUUAGUUCACCCAAAUAAAAAAAUUAUGCAUUAAUAACUCACCCUCAUGUCGUUCCAAACCCGUGAGACCUCCGUUCAUCUUCUGAACACAGUUUAAGAUAUUUUAGAUUUAGUCCGAGAGCUCUCAGUCCCUCCAUCGAAGCUGUGUGUACAGUCUACUGUCCAUGUCCAGAAAGGUAAGAAAAACAUCAUCCGUUUCUGUUGUGAGAGAGUUCAAAACAAAGCAGUGUGGAUAUCCGGUUCGCGAACAAAUCAUUCGAUGUAACCGGAUCUUUUUGAACCAAUUCACCAAAUCAAACCAAAUCGUUUUAAACAGUUUGCGUCUCCUAUACACAUUAAUCCACAAAUGACUUAAGCUAUCAACUUUUUUAACGUGUUAAUUAAUUUACUCAAACAGUACACUGACUGAACUGCUGUGAAGAGAGAACUGAAGAUGAACACCGAGCCGAGCCAGAUAACGAACAAAAGACUGAUUGUUCACGAGUGAAGAACCGGCUGCAUCAGUUUUCAGAUCACCAGUAGUUCUUUCAUACAAUUCAAUAAACCGGUUGAAGAAAAUUGUUCACCGGUUCUUUUGCGCGCGACGUAAUGCCGUCAUUGGCGAUUAUUGCACUUGAUUCAAGCCUUCGGUUUACCUGCGCUCAUAAAAUUAGCACAGAAUCAGUUCAGAAUCAAUGAAUUGGUUCAAAAAGAUCCGGUUACAUCGAAUGAUUUGUUCGCAAACCGGAUAUGACAAACUGCUUUGUUUUGAACUCUCUCUCUCACACAGACACGGAAGAGAAGACAAUGCUGAAUAAAGUCGUCGUUUUUGCUAUUUUUGGACCAAAAUGUAUUUUCGAUGCUAACUGACCCUCUGAUGUUACAUGGACUACUUUGAUGAUGUUUUUCUUACCUUUCUGGACAUGGACAGUAUACCAUUCACACAGCUUCAAUGGAGGGACUGAGAGCUCUCAGACUAAAUAUAAAAUAUCUUAAACCGUGUUACAAAGAUAACAAAUGUCUUACUGGUUUGGAACAACAUGAGGGUAAGUUAUUAAUUACAUAAAUUUGCUAUUUGGGUGAACUAACCCUUUAUUAUAAAAAUAUCUUGUUUGAAUUUAGACACUUGUUUUGUUUAUACAGUAUUGUUAAUGUACAUUACUGUAUGUUUGUGCAGUACAUCUGUUUUAUGCAGUACAGCACUAUGCUUAAUACUGUGUCAUUCAUGCAGAGCAUUACGCUGUAUUUUAUGCUUUUUUUGUUUAUGCAGUACAUCACUGUAUGUUUAUAGUAACCGUGAAAAAUAAAAUCCAAGUGAUUUAUCCUCCA